AACUAUUAAAAUAAUGGUUUGUGGCAGCACUACGUCACAGAACAAUAAAAUCAUGUCAUCUCAGGGGAUUGGAGGUACAACAACAAGAAGAUGGUAGAAUAAAGUGACAGAUUUAGCUCGAUGCACGAGUCUGCUCACUCCGGUGGCGUAAAAGGGAAGUUACAGUUUGGAGAUGACAGACAGGAACUGCAGGGUUCUGGUGUUACUCUUUGCAAACAAAGAUCUGCUCCUUCGGUUUUUCAGUUUGAUCAGAGCAGCAGCCAAGAAUCGGUGAAUAUUCUCAUUUUUCUCCCCGAGUUCCGAGUGUUUUCCACAGAUCUGCCUUUGUGAGCCAUCAGACAACAACCCUGUGUGUUCGCUCCAAAACCAGCAGUUCCUCAACGUAUGAAUCACUCCACUGAGCGCUCUGGAGAGUAAAUAACUGCAGUGGCAUUCCAGGAUGGAAAGAUUGACCAAUCCUCCGGCCCUUAACCCGUUCAGAGCCGCAGGACCAGCAGGUUUUAGAAAACUUGAUCGUCGAUCCCAAAGAUCUGCAGGAGAUCGACACCGGAGAGCUGCAAAGCAGCAAGGCUCACCCAAGGUGUGUUAUAGAUUUUGACUUUGACACCUCUGAUCUACAACCUUGAUUUUUCCUAAGACCCACCUGCGUCCUCCGAACAGGUUUGACCGUUUUUCAUCCCGUUUUCGCCCAUAAGGGAAGUUUGGACCAAACAAGCAAAAACAGCCAGAGCUGAAUUCCAUUUUUACAUUUUUUUCUUGAACAUUUUUCCUCAUAAAUUUAGCAGAAAGUGUGCUAACGCGAUCACUGGAGCAUCGUCUGAGUCUGGAGGCUUGGCUGAUCCCCCCAGCUGGUGUUCAUUAGCCUGCGGUGGCUGACACUUGUUUUGUGUUGUGAAAGUCAUGCAGUACAGAUGUAUGCACGUUUAUUACACAUUAGCGGCGCUUACUUUAGGACAUAUGGCAGUCGCUAACCCCGCCAUUAACCGUGCUUAUGCCGCUCUUUACCACCUGUUAAAGACGCCCAUCAACCACGCCGGGGGCCCAUCAGGUGACUGCCGUCCCCGGACCAGGAAACCUCCCCGGAGAAGGCUGGCAGACGUCUCUACAUACCGCACGUCUGGCUGUGGAGGAACUGAUGGUCUGACAUCUGGAGAGCAGCUGCCCCCAGCUCCCCUCUGGGGGUACGCAGGCAUUUCUUCCCUCUGCAGCUCCACAUUCAACACCGCUCCGCUAUUAUCCCGCCCCACCCGGCCGAGGAACGCCACCGGAGCCUUUCCAAGCCCUAAAUCCGGCAGGCUAAAUUAUACAGAGAGAGAAAAAGUCCUCCGAUCGGUCUCUGUGCGGGUGAAAGUCUCACGGCUCCGUCGGCUCGCGGGGGAACCGUGUGACCCCGUCAGGUCGACCAGACCCGGCCCAGUCAUGCCGGUGAUACACCGGGGGCCUCAGAGUCACGCGUGACUCACUGAUCUCUGCAACAACACGCAGGAAAAACUCGUCUUUCCCUCAUAUGGACGGCUUAGGAAGCUUCCUCUGAGGGUGACGGACGAUUCACCGUUUGGUGUUUUUGUCUCAACAAACGUUAACACAGCAGCAGAGAGGCUUCUAUUUUCAGUCGGGAGGAGGGGCGGGGUUCCCCUCUCCGGGAAAUCCACUCCGGACUGUCCUCUGGACAGCUGUCCAAUGGAAAAAGACAAAUAUGAGGGAAAAGACGCAGAAAGUGACAGGAAACGGCAGAAUCUUAGAAUGAGCAUCAGAGCGGUUGUGAUGUAACAGAGUCUGUCUGGGACAGUCUGAGCGAUUUAAAAGGAGAAAUACUCGGAAAUGCAAAAACAAAAGGAUUUCUUAUUACAUUUGUUCUCUUUCAGAAGAAAAAUGACUCAUAAAUGUUAAAAAACUCUAAAAAAACUGGUGUAUUUGUCAUGUUCUAGUUGCAAAUUGUUGUGAAUCAGACCAGAAAAUUCUGUCUGAAAAAUCUUUGUGACAUAAAUACGCCACAAGCUCCACACUACGAGCAGACAAAUAGAUCCGUGAACGUCUGUUUUCCUGGUCUGAGCUGGAAUCUCCGAUAUUGCUCGUUUUUGUUGCAGCGCUAAUGUUGUUUAUGGUCGUAAGGAGCUGUAAGCUAGUGGGAAAACGUGUAAACUAGAGGUGGGCAGAUCAAUGAGUAUCGACAGUAUUGAUCCCAAAGUAAAAUAACAAUACUAGUGAGAUAAGAUCAAUACUUUUGGUACUUUGUACAGUAAGAAGGUUGAACGACAGCUCACCGCUCCAAAAGGGGAGGGGCCAAAUGUUAAACUAGAGAACAAACUAAUCAAACUUACUUGAACUUUAUUACAGUGUUUACUUUUUAUUACUAACUUUAUUUAAAAAUAUAUUUGUGGUGUUUUUAUUUAUUUUUGCACUAGUUACUGUUUCCUUCUUCUCAUUAUUAUUGUAUUAUGUCAUCACUAACACAUGAUCUAUAGUCGAUGUAUAUUCAGUUCAGAUUGUUAUCAUUCGUUAACAAAUAUUUUAUUUUCCAAAAGUCUCAGUUUAUUUACUCACACUUAAAGGACAAAAAAUGUGCAUUUUAAAUCAACAUCCUAAGAAAAAGUAUGAAUAUCGGUGAUCCUGGUCCUGUACUUACUUGGUAUUGGAUCGAUACCUAAAUUCACAGUAUUAGUGAGAACAGACCGAUGAUGGGAAAUGGGGGCGGGGUUACGCAAUUUGGAGAUUUCUAAUGAACUCCUGCAGCUCUGCAGAUACGUAUGUCCUCGAAAACGACUGUUUUUUACAUUUAUUCUGACACCGUCAUGAUAAAACGUCCACUGGGAACGCUUUGGAGAUAGAUCAAGAAUGACGGGAGAGGGACUUUGGAGCACAGAGCUGGGAGCAAAACAGGACAUAAAGCGUUUCCCCUCCAGGAGGAAGAGGGGCCGAAGGUCGCUGGAAAUGUUGUUUUUACCUCAUAAAGAAAAAAAAAAACUCUGUGAGCAAAAAACUUUGAGUAAAGAGGAAAAACAGACGCAACUGCAGAAACAAAACAAACGACACAAAUGAGAACUUUUUACCUCGUAUUGAUCCUUUAGGAUUCAUCAAAGGUGGAGGACGUGUCAAUUCAUCCAUUUCAUGAAGCAUUUUCUGCUUUUAUGUAUAUUCAAAUCAACAUUUAUGCUGACGGUGUAAAAAAACAUCUAUAAUAGGGUUAGAAUUCAGGAGUUAUAAAAGUUAAAGGCAUAAAACCCAAAAAUACUUCAGGAGUUAUUCCUGAUUAGAUAGAAAUGAUUCCCUGAAGAAAUGAAGAUUAUUGACGCUGAGAAUGAGGUGCAGGAAGUACUAAAUACUAAACUAGUAAAGUUACAUCACCUGCGUUGGUGCUAGCGUGAAUGCUUUUAGCUAAAUGUGCUCACUAAAGAUGCUUUUAAACGUUUUACUAGCAUGAAUGUCCUGAAUGUGCUGGACGUUUUAACACUAAACUUUCCUUAUUUGCAGAAAUUGUACAAAGAAUUUGAUUUGUAAAUCUUGAAAAAUCACAAAAUUUGCCUAAAAUCGUAAAAAUUGUAAAAUAUAUCAAUACUAAAAGUAGGAGCAUGAACGUGCUGACCGUUUUAAUACCAAACUUUCAGAAUUUGCAUGAAGUAAACAAAGAAUUCUACGUAAUUUAAAAAAAUUACGUAAAAAUGUAAGAAUGCGUAAAACGUUAGCAAACCAAAAGUACAAACGUGAAUGUUCUGAACGUUUUGAUACCAAACUUGUGUGAUGCAGAAAGUGCACAAAAAUUUGAAUUAUAUUUUUAAAAAAUGCGUAAAAUUUAAAACGCAUAAAAGGUAACAAUACUAAAAGAAUAAUCAGGAAUGUCCUGAACUUGCUGAAUGUUUAGACAUCAAAACUGCUUAAGUUUCAAAAGUGCACAAAGUUUUUGAAGGAUUUGAAGAAUUUCAUUUUCAUUUUCAAUGGGGCUGAAAAAUGACACAAAUUACGUAAAAUCUUAAAAAUCGUAAAAUAUAUCAACACUAAAAGUACGAGCAUGACUGUUCUGAAGGUUUUGAUACCAAUUUUUCAAAUCUUACAAACGAUUUGAAGAGAUUUUUUUUUAAAUCUUUAAAAUUUUGAAAAUGCGUAAACGGUAGGAAUGUCACUCAAAGAAGUUCAAUUAUAUCUUUAAAAAAAGCGUACAAAUGUAAAAUGCGUAAAAGGUAUGAAUACCAAAAGCAGAAGCUGGAACGUUCUGAACAUGUUGAUACCGAGAUCACUUGAGCUUCAAAGGUGAACUAAUAUUUUUGAAGGAUUUGAAGAGUUUCACAUUCAUUUUCAAUGGGGCUGAAAAUGGCAAAAAUUGCGUAAAAUCUUAAAAAAAUUGUAAAAUAUAUGAAUACUAAUAGUACAAACAUGAACAUCCUGAACAUGUUUUGAUACCAAACUUGCUUAAGUUUCAAAAGUGCAUUAAAGUUUUUAAAUGAUUUGAAGAAUUUCACAUUUAUUUUUAGUGGGGCUGAAAAAUCGCUUCAAUUACGUCAAAUCUUUAAACCUGUAAAAUAUAUCAAUACUAAUAGUACGUAUGUUCUGAAUGAGCCGAACGCUUUAAUAACAAGAUUGUUUACGUUUUUAAAAGUUCUCAAAGGAUUUGAAGAAUUUCCCUUAAAACUCGUAAAAUAUAUAAUUACUAAAAGUACAAGCAUGAAUGUCCUGAAUAAGCAGAACGUAUUGACACCACGAUUGCAGAGAGCAGCAGGAGAAAUCACACUUCAAGCAAACGUUUUUAGAAUAUUUAAGUUAAGAAAGCGUAAAAAAAUGAACAUUUCAAGCCAUAACGCACUAAAAACGAAUCAAACUUCUGAUCUCUUCUCUGACAACAUUAAGCGUCCCUCUCGGAUAAAUGAGCCUCGCUGUCGUUUAGCCUCCAUCACAGGUCGGUUUGAGCUCCCCGGACGCAUUAAAGCUGCAAAUAUUUUGGUGAAGGUUUGGAUGUCGGGAAUCCGUGUUGGGAAACGAUUUGGCAGCAGCUCUUUCUCUGCUGCCAAAGCCUUUGAAUCAGAUCCUUCUUCUCCCUCGGAGACGCUGCAGAUCGCCUUCCCGGGCGCUGCGGCGUGUUUACGCGGCGUGCUCCACAAACAGGAGAGACGUGCAGGAAGGGAACGGCGUUUAUGGAUUCAUAAACUUCCUGAGGGUGACGUCUGCAGGUGAUGCUCUACGACAGCGUGGGAAUGUAAACGCAUCCACCCAGAGAAGAGUCUGUUCAGCAUUAAAUCCUCUUCAUGCAAGUUUGUUUUGGGGCUCCAUUAUAAUAAUAUCCCAUAAUUCCUUGUGGUUUCACACACUGUAAGCAUUAACUCAGUUGGAGCAUGAAGCUAAAUUUGGAUGAUGCAACCGUUUCAUUUUUUUCUCAUGACAUCACGCUGUCGUAAAUUAAAGCGUUUUUCCGGUUUUUGCCCGGACGUGCCCCUCCCGCUGAGCCCGCCCCCGCCGCCGCCGCCUUACCUCCGAUGGCGCUGCAUCUGGAGAUGAUCUCCCACAGAACCAGAGCCAUGGAGUAAACAUCGGCUUGUUUGAAGGACUCGAUGUUCUCCAGGUUGAUUCUGGACUCCAGCACCUCGGGGGCCAUGUACCGGGCCGUCCCCACCUGGGAGGAGGAAGACAGAGCGGCGCCGUGAGGACACCUCGCCACCAAAACUACAACAUUUUAGACACUUUUCAUGAAAGAAAUAGAAAGUUAAAAAUGAUAAAACCCCACCCCCUUUAAAUUUUGAAAAAAGAUUACUUAAAAGUGAGAAAAACAAAAAAAUAAAUAAAAA